AGAGUUUGAUCCUGGCUCAGGAUGAACGCUGGCGGCGUGCCUAAUACAUGCAAGUCGAACGCUGGAGAUCUAGCUUGCUAGAUCGAAGGAGUGGCGAACGGGUGAGUAAUACAUAAGCAACCUACCCACGAAGACUGGGAUAAUCUCUGGAAACGGGGACUAAUACCGGAUAGGUAAUCGGAAGGCAUCUUCUGGUUAUUAAAGGUUAAAAACACUGGUGGAUGGGCUUAUGGCGCAUUAGUUAGUUGGUGAGGUAACGGCCCACCAAGACGAUGAUGCGUAGCCGGCCUGAGAGGGUGAACGGCCACAUUGGGACUGAGACACGGCCCAGACUCCUACGGGAGGCAGCAGUAGGGAAUUUUCGGCAAUGGGGGCAACCCUGACCGAGCAACGCCGCGUGAGUGAAGACGGCCUUCGGGUUGUAAAGCUCUGUUGUAAGGGAAGAACGGUAGAUAGAGAAUAUCUAAGUGACGGUACCUUACCAGAAAGCCACGGCUAACUACGUGCCAGCAGCCGCGGUAAUACGUAGGUGGCGAGCGUUAUCCGGAAUUAUUGGGCGUAAAGGGUGCGUAGGCGGCCUGUUAAGUAAGUGGUUAAAUUGUUGGGCUCAACCCAAUCCAGCCACUUAAACUGGCAGGCUAGAGUAUUGGAGAGGCAAGUGGAAUUCCAUGUGUAGCGGUAAAAUGCGUAGAUAUAUGGAGGAACACCAGUGGCGAAGGCGGCUUGCUAGCCAAAGACUGACGCUCAUGCACGAAAGCGUGGGGAGCAAAUAGGAUUAGAUACCCUAGUAGUCCACGCCGUAAACGAUGAAUACUAAGUAUUGGGGAAACUCAGUGCUGCAGCUAACGCAAUAAGUAUUCCGCCUGUGGAGUAUGCACGCAAGUGUGAAACAUAAAGGAAUUGACGGGGGCCCGCACAAGCGGUGGAGUAUGUGGUUUAAUUCGACGCAACGCGAAGAACCUUACCAGGUCUUGACAUCCCUUGCAAAGCUGUAGAGAUACAGUAGAGGUUAUCAAGGAGACAGGUGGUGCAUGGUUGUCGUCAGCUCGUGUCGUGAGAUGUUGGGUUAAG
rnacentral:rRNA from 1 species